AGACAUAUAAUUGUUUCUGGGGCUUAUCCAGAAAUGAACCAGUCACGAUUCCUUUCCACUCCGAUUCGGUUGUGCUUUAUAAAUAAGUCUAACUGCAUUGCACUUCUAACUAAGUAGCAAUGAAGCUCUAUCUACGUCUCCUUCUCCUUACUCUAAUACUACUCCUGUCCGACGAUGAGAAGAUAAAUCGAAAUUUAAAAAUAAAGAAAAAACUUCUUACCGGUUAAAAUGUCAAGCUUCAAAUGUAAAGUUUGUAAUGAUUGCUAAUCAUUACUUUUAAAUAA